rnacentral:rRNA from 1 species
UACCAGCACCCCGAGUGGUCGGGACGUUUUAUUGGGCCUAAAGCAUCCGUAGCCGGUUCUACAAGUCUUCCGUUAAAUCCACCUGCUUAACAGGUGGGCUGCGGAAGAUACUAUAGAGCUAGGAGGCGGGAGAGGCAAGCGGUACUCGAUGGGUAGGGGUAAAAUCCGUUGAUCCAUUGAAGACCACCAGUGGCGAAGGCGGCUUGCCAGAACGCGCUCGACGGUGAGGGAUGAAAGCUGGGGGAGCAAACCGG